rnacentral:rRNA from 1 species
UACGAAGGGGGCUAGCGUUGUGCGGAAUUACUGGGCGUAAAGGGCGCGUAGGCGGUCCUGAUCGUCGGAUGUGAAAGGCCUGGGCCCAACCUGGGAAUGGCAUCCGAUACGGCGGGACUGGAGUGUGGGAGAGGUUGGUGGAAUUCCCAGUGUAGAGGUGAAAUUCGUAGAUAUUGGGAAGAACACCGGUGGCGAAGGCGGCCAACUGGACCACAACUGACGCUGAGGCGCGAAAGCGUGGGGAGCAAACAGG